GGGUAACGGGAGAAUUAGGGUUUGAUUCCGGAGAGGGAGCCUGAGAAACGGCUACCACAUCCAAGGAAGGCAGCAGGCGCGCAAAUUACCCAAUCCCGAUACGGGGAGGUAGUGACAAUAAAUACUGAUACGGGGCUCUUUUGGGUCUCGUAAUUGGAAUGAGAACAAUUUAAAUCCCUUAACGAGGAACAAUUGGAGGGCAAGUCUGGUGCCAGCAGCCGCGGUAAUUCCAGCUCCAAUAGCGUAUAUUAAAGUUGUUGCAGUUAAAAAGCUCGUAGUUGAACCUUGGGUCUGGCUGGCCGGUCCGCCUCACCGCGAGUACUGGUCCGGCUGGACCUUUCCUUCUGGGGAACCCCAUGGCCUUCACUGGCUGUGGGGGGAACCAGGACUUUUACUGUGAAAAAAUUAGAGUGUUCAAAGCAGGCCUUUGCUCGAAUACAUUAGCAUGGAAUAAUAGAAUAGGACGUGUGGUUCUAUUUUGUUGGUUUCUAGGACCGCCGUAAUGAUUAAUAGGGAUAGUCGGGGGCGUCAGUAUUCAGCUGUCAGAGGUGAAAUUCUUGGAUUUGCUGAAGACUAACUACUGCGAAAGC
rnacentral:rRNA from 1 species